UGGGCUGUUCCUCUAGUGAGCAUUGACUAA
rnacentral:piRNA from 1 species